rnacentral:ribozyme from 1 species
UCUGAUGCGGGUGAGGAAGGUCCGGACGACAAAGGCCCUGGCGAUGACUACUGCGCGUG